rnacentral:rRNA from 1 species
CUACGGGCGGCAGCAGUAAAGAAUCUUCCGCAAUGGGCGAAAGCCUGACGGAGCGACACCGCGUGGUGGAUGACACCCCUAGGGGCGUAAACACCUUUUAUGAGGGAAGAAGUUCUGACGGUACCUCAUGAAUAAGGACCGGCUAAUUACGUGCCAGCAGCCGCGGUAAUACGUAAGGUCCAAGCGUUAACCGGAAUUAUUGGGCGUAAAGCGUCCGCAGGCGGUUUGCCAAGUUGAUUAUUAAAUACCGGAGCUCAACUUCGGUGCUGUAGUCAAAACUGGUAAACUAGAGAUAUGGAGAGGUGCGUGGAAUUGUGCAAGUAGGGGUAAGAUCCGUAGAUAUGCAUAGGAACACCAAAAGCGAAGGCAGCGCACUGGCCAUUAUCUGACGCUCAGGGACGAAAGCGUGGGGAGCGAAAGGGAUUAGAUACCCUUGUAGUC